CCCUUAGAUGUCCUGGGCUGCACGCGCGCUACACUGAUGUGUCCAGUAAGCACCUAACCUCUUCCGAAAGGAACGGGUAACCUUUGCAAAGCACAUCGUGAUGGGGAUAGAUUAUUGCAAUUAUUAGUCUUGAACGAGGAAUUCCUAGUAAGCACAAGUCAUCAGCUUGUGUUGAUUACGUCCCUGCCCUUUGUACACACCGCCCGUCGCUCCUACCGAUUGAAUGUUCCGGUGAGCUCUUCGGACUGCGCGGUCUGCAGUUUCUGCGUUCCGUGCGGAAAGUUGCGCAAACCUUAACAGUUAGAGGAAGGAGAAGUCGUAACA
rnacentral:rRNA from 1 species